CGUUCCCACGAUUUCGUCCUUUUCUACUACUUCCCUACAUUUGAGUUUAGUUGUUGAUGCCCCUCUAUGGUUCUCUUUGUUUUUCCCCCAUGAUUUCGUCCGUUUCGUGUUCCACCGAUUGUUGGCUACGUUGGGAAACUUUGGGGAUUUUCUUGAAUUGCUAGGUUGGAUUUUCUUGAAUUGAUACGUUGGUUUCUCUCACCUCUCAAUGGAAAAUUUCCAGGUUUGAUUUCUAAAUCUAAAUUUCUCUACAGAUUUCUACACAUAUUUCAAUAGUCCAUUGAAUUUGUAAGGUUUUAGGUAAAUACAACGCUAUCUCUGAGGUUAAUUUAUUUUUUCCCCUUUCGACUAGGUAUGUGAUGCUUUAAUUUCUUGGGUUUGUUAGCUUAUGGUUUACGUUUUUCUUAUGAUGAUCUACUGUUCUCUUAUGAUGAAUUCAUCUGUAUUUUCCGUGGACGGACAAUCCUGUAUGAAACGCAACAGUAUCUCAGUCCCCGUGUGAGUCUCGAUUUCUCUCACAUGAUCAAAUUUUCGUUUCUCCUAAAAAACUACAUUUUCGUUUUUUUUCUGUUAUGUAGUAGGAAACACAGCGGUAUCUCAAUCACCAUGUGAGUGUUGAUAUCUCUCGCAUAAUCAAAUUAUCAUUUCCCCUAACAAAUUAAAUUUUUGUUUGUUUAAUUGUACCUUUUUUCCUCCUCUUCAUAGGUGAAGAGGGUUUUCCUUCACAUUCAAGAUUGGAAUUUGACCAUGCGAAAUUGAGAGCAGAAUCUCUCCACUCGUUCCUGGGACAGCUAUACCAUGAAACACUUAGUUCUCAUUGUGUUGUAUAAUUUUUUUUAGAUAUUAUUCUAAAUUCACUUUUUUUUGUCAAACUCAUUUAACAACACAAAACUGUGUAGCCAGUUAAAUAUAAACUUGAGAGCUACACACACUCUCUCCCAGUCUCCCAUACACAUAGUAUGACACUUAAAGAGCCAUUUGGAAACAAACAAUAACUUGGACUGCAUUUUUUGUAUGAGUUAAUCACACGGACUAAAAGAGUGAAUUUGGAGACUCAUAUCAAAGUAUGUAGCCAAUGAUUCAUUUGAAGACUGAAUAUAACGCAAUCAACCUGAUAAAAAAAAUGAACAAUUGGUAAAAUGUUUAAAUUGAACAAUUGGUAAAACGGAGUGUAAACAAUGUAUUUAAUAAUUAACUCUUUGUUCUAUGUCAAUAAUAAUUACCUCUUUGUUCUCUUUUCAAAAGAGUAUUGCAAGUGCCACUAACUUUGUUUGUGCAGUAUCACCUUCUCUGCUAAACUUUAUUAUGUUGGUUCUUCUUCAGUCUUUGUUGGUUAUUGUGAAUAAAUUGCAUGUUAAUUUCAAGGGUUCCCUUUGCCCCGUUUCUUAUUUCCAAUGAGGUUCCUUAUUUGAUGGAACUUUUCAGGUCAAUGUUAUUAAUGGAAUGCGCCAGAUACACCACAAACUUCUUAUAUGCAAGUUACUAAGAAGGCUAGGCAUAAUGAUAUGUUUAUGAAAAACCAGAGAGAGAGGUGUGAUUGAUAUUUGAUUGUUUGUUGAACUCAUUGUCCUUACUGGGGGUACUCUGUUUUUGUUAUGUUUAGUUGGGUUGUCUUUGUUUGUUUUCUUGAAAUAUCAGGUAUGGGAGUUUCUUCAAGUUCCAUAUAUUGUUGUCUCCUACUAUGGUUUCAACGGAUCCAGAUCUCAAUAGAUACAUUUUAAUGAAGGAACCAAAAGGUCUUGGUCCCUGGGUACCCAAAAUGCAUGCUUGAUAGUUUGGAAAAAUGCAACAUUGCAGCAAGCCAGCAACUCAUGGCUCCACUCACAAGUCACGAGUACAUGAGAGUGGCAUUGUUUGCACUCACUAGCCCCACUAUGAUCAGAUACCACGUUUUUCAUAAAAAUUGACGACUUCAUGAGAUCGCACCUCAGUAGUUGGGAUAGCAAAAUCAUUAACAUUCAAGAUAAAACCAAAUAGGUUUGUGACACACCUUUUGAUUCCCCUUUUUCAAUGUUUUAAGUUGUACUGAUAUGUUCUCUCAUUGGUUUUAUGCUGAUGGCUUAACUAAUCAUUGAAGCAGCUUGGUGUCAUUGGAUCCAUGCCAAUCUCUUGAAUGAGUAGAAGAUACGUAGUUGAAUUUAGAUUUUAUGGUUUUUCUUUAUUUUUGUUGUUGAUUGUUAGGGAGGUUCGCGAAUGCUAAAGUCAAGGCUUCCAUGGUUGCGGCGAAGGUAAUCAGAAAGCUUUGCUGUGAACUUCUGGGUUUAAAGGAUGCAGUGGAAGAUCUAUAUGAAUUCUGAAAAUAUGCAAACAAAAUAUUUGGUUUUCUUGAAGUGAGAGGGAGCAUGCAUGAAUCUAUAAAUACGAGUGGUAAUUAUAUUAUUACCGUUGGCAUUGUGCAUUUUUGGUUUCUGUUUGAGGCAUUCAGACAUGAUGAUGAAUCAAAGAGAUUCAUCUACUAUAUCGUGGUGCUAUUCGAAGAAAUUCGUCAGGGGUCAAUGGGAUACAGAGGAAUGCAUUUCUAAGUGAAAAGUGUACAAGUCUUGCCCCUAUCUAGAGAAUAAUUGAAGGCAAAGUGCAAAAAGGACCUUACAGCGAUUACGGCUACGUAAAAGAGCAUUGUCUUGAUUUGCUUUGUGAGGACUGUUCUCUUAUGUUCUAAGCAAAAAUUGCUUGAAUGCAUUGUUGUAUACAGAGUAUGUUGCAAAAGUUACAUACAUGUGAUGGUUCCAUUAGGUUCCUAUGCAUAAUCCAUAAAUCAUUCCUUUAAGGUAAUCUAUCAAUGAAACUUUAAAGGAAAAUAAAAAUUCAAAAUGCUUUUGAACUGGGCUGAAUUAUGAUUUUUGUUAUUUGUAUACAUAAUGACUCGACUAAAACUGUUGUUAUUCAAUGGCCUUUGUAUAUGUGUCUAUCUGAACUCAUAUACCAGUCACUGGUCUACAUGAUGUUUAAAUUUUGAUGUCUCAGUCAGGGCAAUGCUUAUGUGUUCUACUUGAAGGGAAUUGCGUCAAAAAAACAGGGAAAUCGACCAAGAGUAAUACAUGUUUGUUGGUAGUUAUUUUGUAGAAUCUAGGAGGUUUCUUUAGUUCGUUCCUUACGUUUAAUUGAGAUUGGAGUAGUUUUCUUCGUUCCUUAUGUUUAAUUGAGAUUGGAGUAAUUUUCUUUUUUAAA